rnacentral:rRNA from 1 species
AUACGGAGGAUGCAAGCGUUAUCCGGAUUCAUUGGGUUUAAAGGGUGCGCAGGCGGGAAAGUAAGUCAGUGGUGAAAAACUGCCGCUCAACGGUAGUCGUGCCAUUGAUACUGCUUUUCUUGAGUUUGGAUGAGGUAGGCGGAAUGUGCAGUGUAGCGGUGAAAUGCAUAGAGAUUGCACAGAACACCAAUUGCGAAGGCAGCUUACUAAUCCACGACUGACGCUGAGGCACGAAAGCGUGGGGAGCGAACAGGAUUAGAUACCCUGGUAGUCCACGCCGUAAACGAUGUUCACUCGCUGUUUGCGAUACACAGUAAGCGGCUUAGCGAAAGCAUUAAGUGAACCACCUGGGGAGUACGAUCGCAAGGUUGAA